rnacentral:misc_RNA from 1 species
UGACGCUGCAACAGGAUUCU